GAUGAACGCUGGCGGCGUGCCUAAUACAUGCAAGUCGAGCGAACGGACGAGAAGCUUGCUUUUCUGAUGUUAGCGGCGGACGGGUGAGUAACACGUGGAUAACCUACCUAUAAGACUGGGAUAACUUCGGGAAACCGGAGCUAAUACCGGAUAAUAUUUUGAACCGCAUGGUUCAAAAGUGAAAGACGGUCUUGCUGUCACUUAUAGAUGGAUCCGCGCUGCAUUAGCUAGUUGGUAAGGUAACGGCUUACCAAGGCAACGAUGCAUAGCCGACCUGAGAGGGUGAUCGGCCACACUGGAACUGAGACACGGUCCAGACUCCUACGGGAGGCAGCAGUAGGGAAUCUUCCGCAAAGGGCGAAAGCCUGACGGAGCAACGCCGCGUGAGUGAUGAAGGUCUUCGGAUCGUAAAACUCUGUUAUUAGGGAAGAACAUAUGUGUAAGUAACUGUGCACAUCUUGACGGUACCUAAUCAGAAAGCCACGGCUAACUUCGUG
rnacentral:rRNA from 1 species